GACGAACGCUGGCGGCGUGCUUAACACAUGCAAGUCGAACGCUGAAGCUCAGCUUUUGUUGGGUGGAUGAGUGGCGAACGGGUGAGUAACACGUGAGUAACCUGCCCCCUUCUUUGGGAUAACGCCCGGAGACGGGUGCUAAUACUGGAUAUUCACUGGUCUUCGCAUGGGGGUUGGUGGAAAGGGUUUUUCUGGUGGGGGAUGGGCUCGCGGCCUAUCAGCUUGUUGGUGGGGUGAUGGCCUACCAAGGCUUUGACGGGUAGCCGGCCUGAGAGGGUGACCGGUCACAUUGGGACUGAGAUACGGCCCAGACUCCUACGGGAGGCAGCAGUGGGGAAUAUUGCACAAUGGGCGCAAGCCUGAUGCAGCGACGCCGCGUGAGGGAUGGAGGCCUUCGGGUUGUGAACCUCUUUCGCUCAUGGUCAAGCCGCAACAAUGGUUGUGGUGAGGGUAGUGGGUAAAGAAGCGCCGGCUAACUACGUG
rnacentral:rRNA from 1 species